rnacentral:rRNA from 1 species
UGGGGAAUAUUGGACAAUGGGCGAAAGCCUGAUCCAGCCAUGCCGCGUGUGUGAAGAAGGUCUUCGGAUUGUAAAGCACUUUAAGUUGGGAGGAAGGGCAGUAAGCGAAUACCUUGCUGUUUUGACGUUACCGACAGAAUAAGCACCGGCUAACUCUGUGCCAGCAGCCGCGGUAAUACAGAGGGUGCAAGCGUUAAUCGGAAUUACUGGGCGUAAAGCGCGCGUAGGUGGUUCGUUAAGUUGGAUGUGAAAGCCCCGGGCUCAACCUGGGAACUGCAUCCAAAACUGGCGAGCUAGAGUAGGGCAGAGGGUGGUGGAAUUUCCUGUGUAGCGGUGAAAUGCGUAGAUAUAGGAAGGAACACCAGUGGCGAAGGCGACCACCUGGGCUCAUACGGACACUGAGGUGCGAAAGCGUGGGGAGCAAACAGG